rnacentral:tRNA from 1 species
CGCGGCGUGGCCGAAAGGCAAGUCGCCGGGCCGGUUUCCCGGAGAUGCAGGUUCGAACCCUGCCACCGCAACCA